AGCCAUGGAAACUGAUAAAGCAGCUUGGGGUGAGAGAUCCUCUCUUGAGGUUCUGGGCUUCAUGUAGAUUGCUGUAGAUCAUAUCGAUUUUGAAUUUGAUUCGUACGGUUCUACAAUUGCGCGGGAGCUUGAAGAAUGUGUCCGUGAAUUUGUUAGAGAGACGUUGGAUAAGGUGCUUCUUCGUAAGUUUAGUCUGGGGAUGCUUGGUGGUGAAUUCACUGGCAAUCGACAUUACGCGCUGCAAAAUCAGCAACGAUCCCUAGAAGUAACGAGACCUAUUUGCUUUUCUUAUAUAAGGCAAAGCUUGCUUUGGAAAGCCUUGAAGUUGCAGUUGGGCAACAAGACAUGCAAAGAUGGAAGCUCUUGAUGUCCUUCAGGAACAGUGGCAGAUGACUGGAUUUUCAGCUACAGAAGUUGCAGAGAAAUUUUCAGCAUACUCCCUUUAUGUGACAUGUGAACCAUGCAUAUAUGUGCAGUAGCAUUAUCGAUCAUUGGUAUAAAGGAAGUAUAUUAUGGCUGUACAAAUGAUAAAUUUGGAGGCUGUGGCUCAAUACUGGUGUUGCAUUCAGUAGCUCCAAGGCAUGCAUUUCUGAACUUGCUUUUGUUGCUAAUUUCGUAGCUACUUAGCUCCACUUUGUUAUUGUGACAUAUGAUGAUUGACAACUAAAGCUGACUGGAGGUCUUCCUUAUGUUGAUUACUGAUGGAUGUGAUUUCGUAGUGGUUCUGUUUGUUGUCAUUAUUUAAAUAUUGCAACACAUAACCAUGAAAAUAAAUGGAGGUUUAUGGAGCUAAUUUUCCAUCUUUUCUGUCCUUAAGUGGAGUUUCUGGAAGCGUCCAGAAUUCAAGUAUAUAUUAAUUCUAAAUUUCUCCGCUUUGUUUCCUUUUCCUUGAAUUCUUUGUGAUUUGUUAGACAUUUCUGUAUUCUUUUCAUAUGCCCAAGAAGAUGUACAGUUCUGGGAAGUGCUACAAGUUAAGCUAACAUUAGUUUCUUCUUUCCUGUUCCCUUUCCCCUUUGUUUCUCACGUUUUCUCACUGCAGUCAGAUUUUUGAUGUCUUUAGUGUUGUCAUGGUUAAAUCUGGAAAUCUGCAAAGAAAUGUGAUAAUUUAAUCAUGAGUAAAUUAUGCUUUCUGAUAUGCCAUGGGCAAUGUACUUGACAAAGAAACCUCUUUUUGUGUUUAUUAGUUGUAAUUAUCUCUUCUUGCAUACGUGAGAGCAGGUGCCUACUAAGUUGCGGUGUAUGACUUGUGUUUCCAGAAUGAUAUUUCAUCUGUCUGACGCUACUAUGAUCUAACUUUUGAUGUUUUCUAAGCUUGUUUAAAACUCAUCAAGGUUUUACUCAAACUUUGUUGACACAAAAGUUAAAACGUUGAAACGGGAUUUGUUUCGUUGUGAUUUUCGCAGUUCAUGAAGUAGCUAAUCUAGAUUACGGACAUUGUUUUUCUAUUCAAGUAUUUUUUAAAGAACAACAGCUCAAGUACAGGGAGAAGAAGCAAGAGAUGUACUAAGGAUGCAUCUUAACAAAAAAUUUAGAGAAAAGGAAAUAAACCAUGAAAACUCUAGACUUCUAGAGAUUGAAGUUUAUAGUUAUGCUGCUCUUAAUAAUCUGACUACGAGUCAAAAGUAGUGUGGGAAACAUGAACUAGCUCAUUGCCUCUCUAAAUACGACAUCAAGCAAGAGGACUCAUCUUGCGGAUAAAGGACUGCCUUGCUCAAUUUCCUCCUUCUGGAGCUCAAAAACUAGUCCCAAUUAUUGCAUAGUUUCAUGAUAGAAUAUGAGACUGUUGUCAUAAUGGUGAGCAUGGUUCCUAUCCAACGUUCGGAAGACAUAGCUGAUUGAAACCCAUCCUGGCCAGUACUAGUAUACAAAUCAUCCACAAAUCUUCUCUCAAUGAGAUCCUGGUACCAAAAUUUCUCUGAAGAGAAGUUGCCCAUCUGAAUUAAAAGCUUCUAAGUAUCACCCUGUUUACAGCAUGUUAGUUGUUCUCCAUGGACAUUGGGUUUUACGUAGAAGAGAAAAUAUAGAAUGGCCCAAAGGCAUUGUUAAAGUAAAAAAUUUUAAGCCAUCCAUGGACAUUGGGUUUUACGUAGAAGAGAAAAUAUAGAAUGGCCCAAAGGCAUUGUUAAAGUAAAAAAUUUUAAGCCAUAGUUACCCAAAACACAAAACACACAUCUUUUUUAGAUUUGAUCCAAGAAUUUGCCAAGGUCAAUGCCGCUAAUAGAGCUUAGGUACUGUCAAUUGAAUCAAAUGGUACACUUUAGAGAUAAUUUGCUUGCAUGAAAACCUAUUUCCUAGAGUACAGACAUUUCUUAAAAUUGAUAAUCUGAGGACCGAAAUGUAAACUUUUUAAACAAAACAUAUUCUCCUAUCGGAAAACUUGUUUUUGCUUAGAUAGUACCUUCUUUUGCAAAGUGCUUUGUCAAUUAGUCUGCUAAAUUAUGUCUGCCGUGAUAUUUGGACACGUUUUGCAAUUGGAAUCUAUUCUGGGUUUCGAGCAGAUGAACUAGGUAAAAAUGCAGAUUCAUCGGGACCAUUUGUUGGUUUCCACAGAAAUUUCAUCUGUGUUCCCCUUUCAAGUGUCUGCCUGAUUGAUGAAUGUUUCCAACUUUUUUCUUGUUUCUCUUGCAGUAAUGGAAAUUCUAGAUCAAAGGAUUUCAAAUGUUGUGGAUGGAUAAUGGCAUCAGAAGCGGUUUCUCAUCUGUGAGAAUUUUAAGAACAAGGAAACUAUAAUGCUCCAAAGCCUCCCAGGCCACGGGUUACUGAGGCUUCUCAUUUGAUCUAUGUGCAUUGAUUCCUCCCGUUGAAUCUUCUCGUUCCUCUGCACAACUAGGUAAGACCUUUGAACGUAUGAUUCCUUGCUUUUAUGAACGUCAUGUACAUCAUGUGUAGUUUUAUGAUGGACCUUUGCUGUGU